ACGGGUAGUAAUAUAUCGGAACGUGCCCUGGAGUGGGGGAUAACUAGUCGAAAGAUUAGCUAAUACCGCAUACGAUCUACGGAUGAAAGUGGGGGAUUCGCAAGAACCUCAUGCUCCUGGAGCGGCGAUAUCUGAUUAGCUAGUUGGUGAGGUAAAGGCUCACACAAGGCAUCGAUCAGUAGCUGGUCUGAGAGGACGACCAGCCAACUGGGACUGAGACACGUGGCCCAGACUCCUACGGGAGGCAGCAGUUGGGGGAAUUUUUUGGACCAAUUG
rnacentral:rRNA from 1 species